AUUGAACGCUGGCGGCAGGCCUAACACAUGCAAGUCGAGCGGAUGAAGGGAGCUUGCUCCUGGAUUCAGCGGCGGACGGGUGAGUAAUGCCUAGGAAUCUGCCUGGUAGUGGGGGAUAACGUCCGGAAACGGGCGCUAAUACCGCAUACGUCCUGAGGGAGAAAGUGGGGGAUCUUCGGACCUCACGCUAUCAGAUGAGCCUAGGUCGGAUUAGCUAGUUGGUGGGGUAAAGGCCUACCAAGGCGACGAUCCGUAACUGGUCUGAGAGGAUGAUCAGUCACACUGGAACUGAGACACGGUCCAGACUCCUACGGGAGGCAGCAGUGGGGAAUAUUGGACAAAGGGCGAAAGCCUGAUCCAGCCAUGCCGCGUGUGUGAAGAAGGUCUUCGGAUUGUAAAGCACUUUAAGUUGGGAGGAAGGGCAGUAAGUUAAUACCUUGCUGUUUUGACGUUACCAACAGAAUAAGCACCAGCUAACUUCGUG
rnacentral:rRNA from 1 species